rnacentral:rRNA from 1 species
GAUGAACGCUGGCGGCGUGCCUAAUACAUGCAAGUCGAGCGAACGGACGAGAAGCUUGCUUCUCUGAUGUUAGCGGCGGACGGGUGAGUAACACGUGGAUAACCUACCUAUAAGACUGGGAUAACUUCGGGAAACCGGCGCAAACCCCGGAUAAUAUUUUGAACCGCGUGGUUCAAAAGUGAAAGACGGUCUUGCUGUCUCUUAUAGCUGGAUACGAGCUGCAUGAGCUAGUUGGUAAGGUCAAGGGUUACCAAGGCAACGAGGCGUAGCCGACGUGAGAGGGGGAUCGGCCACACUGGAGCGGGAACGGGGUCCAGGCUCCUGCGGGAGGCAGCAGUAGGGUAUCGUCCGCAGCAGGCGAAAGCCUUACGGAGCGACGCCGCGUGAGUGAUGAAAGUCUUCGGAGCGUAAAGCUCUGUUAUGAGGGAAGAACAGAUGUGGAAGGAGCUGUGCAGAGCUUGACGGUACCUAAUCAGGAAGCCACGGCUAACUACGUG